rnacentral:lncRNA from 1 species
AGAAAAUAGAGCUGCAGACAUAGAUAAGGAAGCUGGAAGCUUGCAUGGGUGAAUGUUGGCAGCUGUGCCAAUAGAAAAGGCAUGUUCAAUGUGGAGGCUCCAUCUUCCCUUUUCUUUGUCACCACAUUUAGAGUAAAAAGAAGGCAACAUGGCACUAGCAAGGUAGAGAACCCAUCUGCAUAAUAAAAUAUUAGGGUGGGGCAGCCAACUUCUUCACGUGCUAUGCAAAUGGCACACCAGGUCCGACUAAUCUUUCGUGCCCUAUGUAAAUCAGACACCACCUUUUCAAGCUAGUCUAUAAAACCCCAUGCAUUUCACCACAGAACUGGCUACCCAUUUUUUCCAAGACCCUCUGCUCAGAGAGCUUUUCUCUUUCUUUCACCUAUUAAACUUGCACUCCUAACCUCACUCUUGUGUGUCUGUGUCCUAGUUUUCCAUGGCUGUGGGGCAAUGAACCUCAUGUAUUACCUCAGACAAUGAGGACUUCAUUGCUUCAGCAGGACUGCCACCAACACUCCAGAACUGUAGAACUACCAACAUGCAAUGAGAGCCUGGAAAAGACAAGGUGCCUGACUCUAAUCCAUGAGAACAGCCACAUGUGGGCUGCAACCACCAAACCCAUGGGGGCAGGACUGCCAGAGGCCUUGAGGGACCGACUCCUGCCCCCAGUGUGCUCAGGAUGAAGGACAUGGACUCAAAAGAUAUUAUUUCCAGCUUUAAAAUUGAAUGUCUUUCCUGUUGGGUUUCGGACUUCCUUGAGGCCUGUAACUCCUUUCUUCUGGCCUAUUUCUCCUGUCUCAGCACUAUAUCUUGGAGACUUAUUGGCUUAGUCUGCCAGAGACAAGUGAUGCUGCUUCACUCCUUCUCAUUGGCUGGAGAGGAAAGUAUUUAGUGGUUUAACGUAAGCACAACUUCUGUGUAUCUUUUUUUUUUUUAAAACCAGCACCCCAUAUUUGGUUACGCUCUGGUCUAGUAACCGCUUCCUUUGGGCAAGACAACCUUCUCCACCUGCAAGAGCCAAGCAUGUGAUUUAAAAAAUUUCCUUUGUGGUCACUUAGUUAUUAUUCUUCUUGCUUUGAGUGUUUGGCCUGCUAGUUUCAUGUAUUCACUUUCAACUAAAGCUGUUCUUUACAACUUGUUAUAGUGAGUUUUGAUUCACAGAAUAUUUUAGGCUCAUCUACAAUAUAAUAAUUUCCCACAAAUGUAAAGAAUAUAGAUUUGUACAGUUCUAAAUAUCAGUAAAAGAGCAUGGAGCAGAGUGCUCAUAUUUAACUUUAAAAAAGGUAGUAUUUCCAUAGGUGCUUUCAGGGUAAUAAAAAUUGAUUUGAUUGAUAUUGACUUAUGGGA